rnacentral:rRNA from 1 species
CGCAAUGGGCGAAAGCCUGACGGAGCGAUACAGCGUGAUGGACGAAGUGCCUCGGCACGUAAACAUCUUUUAUGAGGGACGAAAUUAUUGACGGUACCUCAUGAAUAAGGGGCUCCUAACUCUGUGCCAGCAGGAGCGGUAAUACAGAGGCCCCAAGCAUUAUCCGGAAUCACUGGGCGUAAAGGGUGUCAAGGCGGUUAUGUUAGUCGUUCGUAAAAUCCUGGAGCUCAACUUCAGGUCCGCGAGCGAAACGGCAUAACUAGAGGUUGGGAGAGGUGCGUGGAACUCACGGUGUAGGGGUGAAAUCCGUUGAUAUCGUGGGGAACACCAAAGGCGAAGGCAGCGCACUGGCCCAAAUCUUACGCUCCACACGAAAGCCA